rnacentral:rRNA from 1 species
GACGAACGCUGGCGGCGUGCCUAAUACAUGCCAGUAGAACGCAGUUGCGAACGGGUGAGUAACGCGUAGGUAACUGCCUGGUAGCGGGGGAUAACUAUUGGACAAGAUAGCUAAUACCGCAUACUACCAGAUGGACCUGCGAUGUAUUAGCUAGUUGGUGGGGUAACGGCUCAACAAGACAACGAUACAUAGCUGACCUGCUAGGGUGAUCGGCAACACUGGGACGGAGACACGGCCCAGACUCCUACGGGGGGCAGCAGAAGGGAAGCUUCGGCAAUGGACGGAGGGCGGAGCGAGCACCGCCGCGUGAGUGAAGAUGGUUUUCCGAUAGUAAAGCUCUGUUGUAAGAGAAGCGGUAUCUUACCAGAAAGGGACGGCUAACUACGAGCCAGCAGACGCGGUAAUAC